rnacentral:rRNA from 1 species
GACGAACGCUGGCGGCGUGCUUAACACAUGCAAGUCGAACGGAGUACCCCCGAAAGAGAUUUCGGUCAAUGGAGGGGACUGCUUAGUGGCGGACGGGUGAGUAACGCGUGAGGAACCUGCCUUUCAGUGGGGGACAACAGUUGGAAACGACUGCUAAUACCGCAUAACGUAUCUGUAUCGCAUGGUAUGGAUACCAAAGAUUUAUCGCUGAGAGAUGGCCUCGCGUCUGAUUAGCUUGUUGGUAGGGUAACGGCCUACCAAGGCGACGAUCAGUAGCCGGACUGAGAGGUUGGCCGGCCACAUUGGGACUGAGAUACGGCCCAG